UACGGGGGGGGCAAGCGUUGUUCGGAAUUACUGGGCGUAAAGGGCUCGUAGGCGGCCAACUAAGUCAGACGUGAAAUCCCCAGGCUUAACCUGGGAACUGCGUCUGAUACUGGAUGGCUUGAAUUCGGGAGAGGGAUGCAGAAUUCCAGGUGUAGCGGUGAGAUGCGUAGAUAUCUGGAGGAAUACCGGUGGCGAAGGCGGCAUCCUGGACCGACAUUGACGCUGAGGAGCGAAAGCUAGGGGAGCAAACGGG
rnacentral:rRNA from 1 species